rnacentral:rRNA from 2 species
CAGGUUUACCUGUGUGACUGCGUACCUUUUGUAUAAUGGGUCAGCGACUUAUAUUCUGUAGCAAGGUUAACCGUAUAGGGGAGCCGUAGGGAAACCGAGUCUUAACCGGGCGUUAAGUUGCAGGGUAUAGACCCGAAACCCGGUGAUCUAGCCAUGGGCAGGUUGAAGGUUGGGUAACACUAACUGGAGGACCGAACCGACUAAUGUUGAAAAAUUAGCGGAUGACCUGUGGCUGGGGGUGAAAGGCCAAUCAAACCGGGAGAUAGCUGGUUCUCCCCGAAAGCUAUUUAGGUAGCGCCUCGUGAAUUCAUCUCCGGGGGUAGAGCACUGUUUCGGCUAGGGGGCCAUCCCGGCUUACCAACCCGAUGCAAACUGCGAAUACCGGAGAAUGUUAUCACGGGAGACACACGGCGGGUGCUAACGUCCGUCGUGAAGAGGGAAACAACCCAGACCGCCAGCUAAGGUCCCAAAGUCAUGGUUAAGUGGGAAACGAUGUGGGAAGGCCCAGACAGCCAGGAUGUUGGCUUAGAAGCAGCCAUCAUUUAAAGAAAGCGUAAUAGCUCACUGGUCGAGUCGGCCUGCGCGGAAGAUGUAACGGGGCUAAACCAUGCACCGAAGCUGCGGCAGCGAACGUAUCACCCAAGACAACUUUACGGAGUUGACGAUUGACGGAGCGAAGCGACGUCAAAGCGUUCAUUAAAGUCGAGUUGGCUUAGGGAUACGUUCGUUGGGUAGGGGAGCGUUCUGUAAGCCUGUGAAGGUGUGUCGUGAGGCAUGCUGGAGGUAUCAGAAGUGCGAAUGCUGACAUAAGUAACGAUAAAGCGGGUGAAAAGCCCGCUCGCCGGAAGACCAAGGGUUCCUGUCCAACGUUAAUCGGGGCAGGGUGAGUCGACCCCUAAGGCGAGGCCGAAAGGCGUAGUCGAUGGGAAACGGGUUAAUAUUCCCGUACUUGGUGUUACUGCGAAGGGGGGACGGAGAAGGCUAUGUUGGCCGGGCGACGGUUGUCCCGGUUUAAGCGUGUAGGUGUGUGUUCCAGGUAAAUCCGGUUCACUUUAACACUGAGGCGUGACGACGAGGCACUACGGUGCUGAAGCAACAAAUGCCCUGCUUCCAGGAAAAGCCUCUAAGCAUCAGGUAACACGAAAUCGUACCCCAAACCGACACAGGUGGUCAGGUAGAGAAUACCAAGGCGCUUGAGAGAACUCGGGUGAAGGAACUAGGCAAAAUGGUGCCGUAACUUCGGGAGAAGGCACGCUGACACGUAGGUGAAGUGAUUUACUCAUGGAGCUGAAGUCAGUCGAAGAUACCAGCUGGCUGCAACUGUUUAUUAAAAACACAGCACUGUGCAAACACGAAAGUGGACGUAUACGGUGUGACGCCUGCCCGGUGCCGGAA